GAACCUCGGAGAAAAAAUUCUUUGUGAACAAUAUGACAACGAGGAAACCAUGAACUUGGCAAUAGAAGGGGGAAAACAAGCAGUCUUUCAAAUCUAAGAUGCAGGUGCCGACGAUGCCAGAGCAGGGGAGUCUACCGAACUCAAGUCGGAGUUCGACAAGGAUUCUGGCCGUUGCUAUGUUUCUUUUCCGGAUGAUCAAUAGAGGAGCCCAGUUGGGGCGAUCAUGGAUCUAGCAUUUGGGGUUGUCUUCCUUUAUUUUGGUUCUGUAGUCGGACCUUUGAUUGUACUUUGGAUGAUGUAUGAUAUAUUUAUGUAUUGUGUGAAGUGGUGAUUGUAAGCCAA